rnacentral:rRNA from 1 species
GACAGAGGGGGCAAGCGUUGCUCGGAAUCACUGGGCGUAAAGGGCGCGUAGGCGGGAUGGCAAGUCAGUCGUGAAAUCUCUCGGCUCAACCGAGAAGCGUCGGCUGAUACUGCCGUUCUUGAGGGAUGCAGAGGAGACUGGAAUUCCCGGUGUAGCGGUGAAAUGUGUAGAGAUCGGGAGGAACACCGGUGGCGAAGGCGGGUCUCUGGACAUUUCCUGACGCUGAGGCGCGAAAGCGUGGGGAGCAAACGGG